rnacentral:rRNA from 1 species
GUUUCCGUAGGUGAACCUGCUGCUGGAUCAUUACUUUUAUUGUAAUGCUUUACAUUUGAAUGUUCGCAUCAACUUUUGUGUUGAUGUGUAACGGCUGCCGCUGGUGUCUAGGUGCUGCUGAUUCAGCUGUGAGCGUCCGUGGCUGAAUAUGAGGUAACAUGUUAGGAUUUUUUUCUCUUUAUGGAGAAUAAUCGUAAGACUUAAUAAGCCUCUUAAGUGAGGACGCCAGCAACUAUUUUUUUUAAAUAAAUUUUUUUAUUUUUCAAAUGAAAAUAAAUUAACCUUACCGGUGGAUCACUCGGUUCGUGGAUCGAUGAAGAACGCAGCUAACUGCGAUAAUUUAUGCGAACUGCAGAAACCUUGAGCAUAAAAGUUUUGAACGCGUAUUGCGGCAUUGGGGUCAAACCCUUUGGCACGUCUGGUUCAGGGUCAUUUUCUUACAAAGCGAAAGCUUUUAUUUUUAUAAUGUCUCUCUCUUUGACUUUAUAAAUGAAAAUGAAUGAGAAAAUAUAUUUUUUGGUUUACUUGAAUAAUAAUAUCAAUAAAUAUUAGUAUAAUAAUAUAUUGACCUGAACUCAGUCGAGAUCACCCGCUGAACUUAAGCAUAU